rnacentral:rRNA from 1 species
CCUGACACCAAGCGUUCUGCUGGAAACAGCGGCGUGGCCGAGUUAAUAGCCCUGGGUAUGGUAAUAGUUCAAGGUAUGAGCCCGAGUGAUCGGGUGAAAUGGGCGAUCUGCAGCCAAGUCCUAAGGUCUCUCUGUAGGCUAUGGAUGCUGUUCACAGGCCAAAUGGCAGUGGGUGGGAGUAUCAUCUCCUGCUUAAGAUAUGGUCGGUCCCCUUGUGAAAGCUUGGGGGUAAGUUUACCGGAGUGAGAAAUAAUGAGCAAAUUUACCGGGUGUUCUAUAAACUGCAAGAAAGUUAUGGAUGUCUGCGCUUGCUCUGUGGUUCUCAGGAAUUCUGAGUACUUUUUACGUUCCCGUAGGUGAACCUGCGGAAGGAU